AGAGCUGAAAUAUACUAAACAAAAUUUUCUAAGAAAAUUGAUUUGAUCUAUAGGCACCUUUCAGUUAUCAAGCAUAAUAAGCUUACUAUUUCAUUCAGUAAUGUUCACUUAGUUAAAAUGAGUGCAUUCAAAUAAAACUUUUCCUUCGUUUCUGGCAGUGUUCUGAUCUCACAGCUAUUGCUGCUAUCUGUAUUUGGGUAUCACACAACCCUGUACUGCUCGAGAGCACGCACCUUCCCCAAAUUUGGUGGAAGGCUGAGAAGCCAACCAGCACCAUCCUUAACAAAACACACAGGCUGGCUGAUGUUGCCCAUGCUGCCUAAUGUCCUCGUCAGAUUGUAGGUUUGGUGACUGCCUGAGCCACCGAGACUCAUCACGCCUGCUGAGCUGCAAGAGGGAAUGCAAGGAGAAUUCUAAAGCUAACUGACAUUACCAUGGUCUUUAUACCAGGUUCCAAAAUACCUGCAGUUAAAGAUCAUAUCACCCCCAUGGAAGUGAUGCAGUGUGCAUGCCACAGAACCAACACGUAUAUUUAUGGAAUCACAUAUGCAUAACUUAAAGGAUUCCACUCAGGCAUCAUCCUGUGUUUUGCUGUCAGAAAUGUACAGCUCUUCUCUACGUGCUUUUAAACAAGAUGCUGUGAUCGUCUUAGCUGUACUGUCUUACCCAGUGACUUCAGGAGCAGAGCAGAAAGAGGGUUUUAAUCCUUAUAUAUAUUGAGAUAAUUGACCUGAUCAGAUUUCUUUGGAAAUUGAGGAAAAGGGAGUUAGGGAAAGAGUGUUGUGUUGCAUACAGGAGUGUGCCACAGUGAACAGCUCCACUUGAAGACCGUGGGCUUUACUCCAUUAUGAGAUGCACCAUCAGCCUUCCCAACUAGUGACAAAAUGGAUUGACACUUCAUGUACUGAAGAACUUCCUUGAAGACAUCAACCCAAAGAUUUUUAGUAAAGAAAACUCAGCAAACUCAACUAAAUACACUGCAGGAGGGAAAAAUAAUACCUAUUCCUCAGCCAUUUAUUUAGGAAAGCCAGGAAGGAGCCUCAACAGUUUCAUAUGGCAAAAUCUGCCAUACUUGUUUAGCUAAACUAGAGAAGCGUGACAAGGAACGCUAUUUUCUCUUCUGAUUCAAGAUUUCAUUAUGAAUUGGGGAAAAUCUACAAAAUGUAGUUCUUUAG
rnacentral:lncRNA from 1 species